rnacentral:rRNA from 1 species
UUCUGGUUGAUCCUGCCGGAGGUCACUGCUAUUAGGGUUCGACUUAGCCAUGCGAGGCGUGAGUCAUCUGGACUCGCCGAACUGCUCAGUAACACGUAGUUAACUUACUCUUAGCUAGAGGAUAAUCCUGGAAAACUGGGGCUAAUACUCUAUAGCUGUUAAUUGCUGGAAUGCUUUAACAGCCAAAGCUUCGGCGGCUAAGAAUAGGACUGCGGCCUAUCAUGGCAGUUGUGAGUGUAAAAUACUCACAAACCUUUAACGGGUAGGGGCCAUGAGAGUGGGAGCCUCGAGAUGCCUUCUGAGACAUGAAGGCAGGUCCUACGGGACGCAGCAGGUACGAAAACUUUCCAAUGCCUUAACGGGUGAGAAGGGAACCCUGAGUGGUUAUGCAUAGCAUAAUCUUUUGUUUUGUCUGAACAGCAAGACGAAUAAGUGGUGGGUAAGACGGGUGGCAGCAGCCGCGGUAA